ensembl:lncRNA
AUCUGGGGAGAAAUGGGGAGAAAUUGGGAAAAUCCUAUAAGAGUUUUGGGGUGAAAGUGGGAGAAAAUGGGAAAAAGGGGGAGAAAAUGGGAGAACGUGGGAGAAAGAGAGAGAAAAUGGGAGAAAAUGGUGGAAAAUGGGAAAAAAUGAGAAAAAUUGGGAUACUACGGGGUGAUAUUGGGGUGAUCCUAUAAGGUUUGGGGGAAAAAAGUGGAAUUUGGGGGAAAAUCGGAUAAGUUUUUUGGGGUGAAAUGGGGAGACAUUGGGAUUCCAUGGCGGUGCACGAGGCGCUGCCCAUGCGCUUCAGCCAGCGCACGCUGCAGAAACAGGCUGGUAAAUAAAGGAUUGGGGGUGCGAAACCCUCGUGCAAUGCACAAGAUGGUGGAAAGUCGGGUCUUUUUGGGGUGAAAAGGGGGGAAAUUGGGAAAAAAUCGGGAGAAAAUGGCGGAAACGGGGAGAAAAUGGCGGAAAUUGAGAGAAAAUGGGAGAAAUCUGGAGAAAAGUGGAGAAAAAUGGGAGAAAAUGGGAGAAAAUGGGAUACUACGGGGUGAUAUGGGGGCGAUCCUAUAAGAAUCUGGGGAGAAAUGGGGAGAAAUUGGGAAAAUCCUAUAAGAGUUUUGGGGUGAAAGUGAGAGAAUGGGGAAAAAGAGGGAGAAAAGGGGAGAACGUGGGAGAAAGGGGGAAAAAGGGAGAAAAAUGGCGGAAAAUGGGAGAAAAUGGGGAAAAAUGGGAUACUAUGGGGUGAUAUUGGGGUGAUCCUAUCAGAAUCCGGGGAGAAAUGGGGAGAAAUUGGGAAAAUCCUAUAAGAG